UACAGGGGGUGCAAACGUUGCUCGGAAUCAUUUGGGCGUAAAGCGCACGUAGGCGGUCUGUUAUGUCGGAUGUGAAAGCCCUUGGCUCAACUGAGGAAGUGCAUCCGAAACUGGCAGGCUAGAGUACUAAAGAGGAUCGCGGAAUUCCCGGUGUAGAGGUGAAAUUCGUAGAUAUCGGGAAGGAACACCGGUGGCGAAGGCGGCGAUCUGGGUAGAUACUGACGCUGAGGUGCGAAAGCGUGGGGAGCAAACAGGG
rnacentral:rRNA from 1 species